rnacentral:lncRNA from 1 species
UGCCUUAACAGCGGCAUCUACGUCCGGCUAGUUUCCCCCAGCAUGUAACAACAUAAUACCAACUCUCACAGAGUCAUUCUUCUGUUGAGAGAAAAUGGGGCUUCAAAGAACAACUAACUCCACAACCAACAUACUACUUCACAAACAUCAACAAGACGAAAAACCACAUCUAUUUUUUGUUAUAAUAUUUGGUGGAGGCCCGUUAAUAAAUGUUGGACGCCAAACAUCGACACCUAUCUUACAGCAUGCCAGAGACUAAUACAGUGUUUCGACAAUUUCGAACCGGAAGAUUUACAGUUGAACAUUAUUUUUGUAUCGUUCGGACUAUUUAAUUCUAUAUAUUUCCAGUAAAUGAUUUAUUUGUGAAUAAUCAGAAUACACCAUUGAACAAUGACAUCAGCUGAAUAUCAAAGAACAUAUUAUUAUACGAGAAGAACUUU